rnacentral:rRNA from 1 species
UACGGAGGGUGCAAGCGUUAUCCGGAUUCACUGGGUUUAAAGGGUGCGUAGGCGGAUAUGUAAGUCCGUGGUGAAAUCUCUGGGCUUAACCCGGGAACUGCCAUGGAUACUAUGUGUCUUGAAUGUUGUUGAGGUGAGCGGAAUAUGUCAUGUAGCGGUGAAAUGCUUAGAUAUGACAUAGAACACCAAUUGCGAAGGCAGCUCACUAAGCAAAUAUUGACGCUGAGGCACGAAAGCGUGGGGAUCAAACAGG